AGCUUUGUGCAGUGGCAGCAUAAUAGCCAAUGAGAUUUAUCCAAGGAGUGAUUAUUGCUAAUUGAAAAACUGGGGUGCCUGGGUGGCUCAGUCGGUUAAGCGUCCAACUUUGGCUCAGUUCAUGAUCU
rnacentral:snRNA from 1 species